AGCACUACUGUUUCUCUAUCGACUUGGACCGUAUUUAAUACCUAUUCCUACUGGCUGUGACACAGACCAGGAAGAAACAGGCCGCCGCGAGCAUCGACAAGAACACGAAGAGUCCCACAGCAAUCAUGAUGACUUGCUGGAGUUUGGUGGUGGCUGAAAAGGUGACGUGGAAGUAAACAUGAGGCCCAUCCCACAAAUGAUACAAACGUCGGUAAUUUCUCACCUGCCAGCUGCUUAAAGAGUCUGUUUCCUAGUGAAAUGGGCAGAUACUGGCCCCUCUCCACCCAGCCUCACAUGCUUAAAUGAAUAACUCGGAAAAGCAAUCCUAAAAUAAAGCAGUGUUCGCUGUCUGG